CCUACGGGAGGCAGCAGUGGGGGAUAUUGCACAAUGGGGGAAACCCUGAUGCAGCGACGCCGCGUGGGCGAAGAAGUAUUUCGGUAUGUAAAGCCCUAUCAGCAGGGAAGAAGAAAUGACGGUACCUGAGUAAGAAGCACCGGCUAAAUACGUGCCAGCAGCCGCGGUAAUACGUAUGGUGCAAGCGUUAUCCGGAUUUACUGGGUGUAAAGGGAGCGCAGGCGGCACGGCAAGCCUGAUGUGAAAGCCCGCGGCCCAACCGCGGGACUGCAUUGGGAACUACCGGGCUGGAGUGCCGGAGAGGUAGGCGGAAUUCCUAGUGUAGCGGUGAAAUGCGUAGAUAUUAGGAGGAACACCAGUGGCGAAGGCGGCCUACUGGACGGUGACUGACGCUGAGGCUCGAAAGCGUGGGGAGCAAACAGGAUUAGAUACCCCAGUAGUC
rnacentral:rRNA from 1 species